rnacentral:rRNA from 1 species
UGGGGAAUAUUGCACAAUGGGCGCAAGCCUGAUGCAGCCAUGCCGCGUGUGUGAAGAAGGCCUUCGGGUUGUAAAGCACUUUCAGCGGGGAGGAAGGCGAUAAGGUUAAUAACCUCAUCGAUUGACGUUACCCGCAGAAGAAGCACCGGCUAACUCCGUGCCAGCAGCCGCGGUAAUACGGAGGGUGCAAGCGUUAAUCGGAAUUACUGGGCGUAAAGCGCACGCAGGCGGUCUGUCAAGUCGGAUGUGAAAUCCCCGGGCUCAACCUGGGAACUGCAUUCGAUACUGGCAAGCUUGAGUCUCGUAGAGGGGGGUAGAAUUCCAGGUGUAGCGGUGAAAUGCGUAGAGAUCUGGAGGAAUACCGGUGGCGAAGGCGGCCCCCUGGACAAAGACUGACGCUCAGGUGCGAAAGCGUGGGGAGCAAACAGG